rnacentral:rRNA from 1 species
GACGAACGCUGGCGGCGUGCUUAACACAUGCAAGUCGAACGGAAAGGCCCUGCUUUUGUGGGGUGCUCGAGUGGCGAACGGGUGAGUAACACGUGAGUAACCUGCCCUUGACUUUGGGAUAACUUCAGGAAACUGGGGCUAAUACCGGAUAGGAGCUCCUGCUGCAUGGUGGGGGUUGGAAAGCUUCGGCGGUUGGGGAGGGACUCGCGGCUUAUCAGCUUGUUGGUGGGGUAGUGGCUUACCAAGGCUUUGACGGGUAGCCGGCCUGGGAGGGUGACCGGCCACAUUGGGACUGAGAUACGGCCCAGAGUCCUACGGGAGGCAGCAGUGGGGAAUAUUGCACAAUGGGCGGAAGCCUGAUGCAGCAACGCCGCGUGCGGGAUGACGGCCGUCGGGUUGUAAACCGCUUUCGCCUGUGACGAAGCGUGAGUGACGGUAAUGGGUAAAGAAGCACCGGCUAACUACGUG